CAGUGACGACUCAGUGAAUGACCUGAUACUGAAUCUGCACAAGGAAGCUCUGAGCUGCAAGACUGAUACGGAAGUCAGAUGUCGUUUUGAACAUGACGAUGAAAAUAGACGUCCCUUACAAUCAGCUGGUGAACGUGGAGGAGAGGAAGCAAGAGAGCAGAAAAACACUGAUGUACUCCAGGGGGAUGCUUGCACUGGCCACGAUAGCCACAGUGCUGCUGGCUGCCAUGGCCAUCUAUAACCUCCUCACGCC